GAUCCUAAUGCUUGUUCAUGCCUGGUUAUCUGUAGAGUAAGGAUGAAAACUCUCAUUGGAAGCAUAAUGCUGGAAUACUUGGAUAGGCAGCGUAAUUUUAAACCACUAAAUUUGUGGUAAUCUGUUAUAGCAGCAAUAGGAAACCAAUACAGACACCGUUCAAAAGAUGAUUGUAAAGCUGUCACACUGUGGGCUUUGAAAGCAAAUUUGCUGCCUUUUCUUCCUCUGUUAUGAUAUCAUACGCUUGUUUCCACUAGCAGUAAUGCACACUGGGGUUGCCAUUGUUAAUCUUGAAAUUGUACUUUGCCAGUUAAAGACAUGAGACCUUUGGCCUCUUCUUCAUUCCUAGGGUGUCCAGUGGGUGGCCUGUGAUGUCUCCCUGCUAACGCUAGACGAUAUUUCAUCCUAUCUAACAAGCACUCUGCUCAGAUGGUCGUCUGUGCAAGUGCCACAAGGAAAGCUCCCAUGGGACCCAGAAAAGUAUUCAUUUUCCAAAGAGAAUUAAAACCCACAUUGAUAGCAUAUAAAACAAGAAUGCUUUAAAAUGUGAAGAGUGAUGAGGUUAUUUCACCCUUAAGUUAUAUUUCUAGGAAAAAGCAGAAUUUAAAUCUUAAGAGAUCUGUGUGCCCAAUUGACACUUCAAAGAAAGAGAAACCCAGCUAAUGAAAUGUAACCUAACAUCCUUCCCCAGCUUCUGUAUUCCCCAGAUUGCUACCCUUUUCCAAUUAACUUUUCCAUUCUUCUGCUAAUUAUCUGAUCUAGAAGCUUUGGAGUGAUAUUUUUCCUCCCUCUGAUUCAGCCCUUAGAAGACAUUCUCCUCUCAUCUUCGUUUUCUUUGGGGACCCUGUUUCUCAGCAUUAAUACGCAUGCGCCUAACACAGCUCUGUAUGCAGCAGCUGGCUCACAGGUUGGAGCAUGGAUUCGUUCUAUCCAGUCUGCAUCUCUUUCUGCCUGCACUUCCACACCACUCACUCCACACUCUACACAGCUCCCUGUUGCUUCCACCUGAAGUGUAAAUCCUUCUACUUAGUUUUCAAGGCCUAACUAUCCAGCUUUGCUCCCCAUGCCUCUCCACAUUCCUUCCUUCUUUCAGACGGCCAGGCAAUUUCCAUGGAUUCAUAAAAUUCAGUUUCCUCUUUUCUUGGUAACUCAGAAGAAAGGAACAGAACUGAAUCAGACGUUGACCCCUUUGACAAAUAUAUAGCUUUGUGGGGAUGGGGUAUGGGGAGACAAAUACAAAAGCUAGUUGGGGUUUUAGGUACUAUUGCAAAUGAGUUCUGUGAGCACGCCAAGAGGGGCUAAAAGAUCUUCAGGUGAGGGCACGGUAGGAAAGGCUUUGAUGAGUAGGAGAUAAUAGGAAAAUGAGUUGUCAUUUUGAGUACAGACUUUUCUUUCUUUUUUUUUUUUUUUCAUUUUGCAACGUGGCAUGUGGGAUCUUAGUUCCAAACCAGGGAUUGAACCUGUGCCCCCCUGUAAUGGAAGUGUAGAGUCUUCACCACUGAACCACUGGGGAAGUCUGAGAGCUAUUAUCUAGAACAUUAUGUGAUGUAGAUUCUAUUAAUUUUCAUGCAAAUAACGUGAUAAUGUUACCUACCCUUUCAAGUCAGACCCUAAUAAAGAUCUUCCUGCCCUGUGUCACUUGCACCAAUAGAAUGAGACAGAGUUCAGUUCAGAAGCAAAAGAAUGUUUUGUUUUUUGGUCAGAGAAUGAAGAGGUAUGGACUCACACUCAAGAGCACACACACUCUCCCCUCCAGGACAGGUUGUGGUUGGUGCUGCUUCUUAGAGUUCCCCUUCUGGGGAAGGAGGGUAGAGUUCUCGCAAAACGGACAGGCUGAAAGCAGUAUCUCCAAACCCCUGCCAUCUUGAAUCACAACAUCUUGUGAGAAGCUUCUGCACACGGUCCCCAAGCUGAGGUGUCGAGUGGUGCUGUUUGAUGCCAGGAACUAUGGUCUGAAGGGUUUUGUGCGAGGCCUCUGCGCGCAGUAUCCUGUGAGCAAGUGAAACUUGGUGUUAUACCUUAUCACCUGGAUUCCGUCUUAUUUUUCCUGGAGGCCUCAGGGGGCUUCGCCUGUGACACGAGUGAUAGCAGCACCUCUUCUGAGGAUUAAAUGAACAUUAAGAGGAAAGUAAACUGCCUGUUCUGAGGAAGGCACUCAAUAUGUGUAAGUUUCCUUUCUUCCUGAGGGGUAAUGGAUGUUCCAAUACUGUUAAAUUGCAUCUCAUUCUGAAAACUCUAACACACGAAGGAGUUCUAAGACAUAUACACCUUAAUCUUGAUUACUUGUUCCUCUCUUCCAGCUGAUUUGUAAGUGAAAAUGAAUAUGAAAAGAGUAAAAAGAGACCAAGAUUUUAGGUAAAGGAGAAGGAUGUCAUGGGGGGAAAAAGAAGUUUCUAGAACCAGGAUCAGAUGAGGCUCUACAGACAAACAUUCUGCUCCAUAGUUUUGCUAAGGCCUCAUUAAGUGAAGACAAAACUGUGAUUUCAUGGCGAAGAGGGAAUAGAGAGCUCAAAGCUUUCUGUGUAGCCUACCUGCCAGCUCCUGCAGCUUUAGAGAGCUGUAAUUGGCCUCAGACCAGACGUUUUCAGGGUCGAUAGCACUUGACAGGGCAAUCUUUUUUAAACCAGGAGAAAGGAAAGCCUAGAACAGGCUUUCAACCUAAGUUCUCAAACCUUGGUAUAUAUCCAACUCACCUGGAGGGCUUGUUAAAACAGUUUCCUGAGCUCCUCCUUUGCAGUUUCUGAUUCUGUGGAUUGGAGCAGAUUGGAGGCAGCAGGAUUGGGGGACGUGCAGUGAAAAUUUGCAUUUUAACAAGUUCCAGGUGAUGCUGAUGCUGCUGGUCUGAACUCCACUUUCAGAAUUAUUGGCUAUAUAUUAGAAUCCCCUGUAGACCUUUAAAAAACACUGACGCCCAUCCACACCCAAGCCAGUAAUCCAAAUUUCUGAGAAUGUGAUCUGGAGACCAGGGUUUUAAAACUUCCAGGUGAUUCCAGCUUGGGAGCCAUUGGCUUGGGAUCUUUGAAAGCCAAGCUUUGUCCUACUUGAUAAGCCCUAAGGGUUGAGCAGAGGAAGCAUCCUGACAUCUGCUUUUCCUAAUAGAAGAGAAAAUGUUUAUGAUUCUUAGAGGAAAAGCAUUUAGCUGUUCUAGACUUUAAGACAAAAUAAACUGUGGAUAUCUCAAAGAUAAUAGC
ensembl:lncRNA